CGGCCUCCCUGGACUGGUUCUCGGCUCCUCGAGGCUCCAGGAUGCUGGGGGCCCUGCCUUGUGGGUGAUGUGCUGAAACGCCUUCCUGGUCCACCAGCAAGAUGGCCUGCCCCCGGCAUCCCUGGGGACCAGGGUCCCUCUGACCCAGGAAGCAUGGCUCCACCCUACGACUGCCAGGCCAGGAGGCGGAGGGGGAGCACAGGCAGACCGUGAGAACCUCUGGAUUCCUCUCAACAGAGAGUCGUGAGAUCGUCCAGCCUUCGGAACAUUAUUCUCCCUUGUCUGCGCUCGAGAGAUCAGUUUGUGGAAUGGCGUGCUCUUUACCUGCUUGGACUCAAGGUUACCAUGUGGGACGACACAGCUCCAGAUGCCUCCCGAUCCGCCCACUCAGCAGGCUCCAGGACACGUCCCUUGGGUGGGGUGCAGAAGACAAGCCCCCGUUCUCCCCCGGCUCCGCCCCAGAUCCCGGUCCCCCAGACCAGGCCUGCAGAAUGCCGGGAACCUCAGGGAAACAGCUACUUCUUGGUGAGUUAACAACUUCGGGAAGUAACUCCUUCAACGUCAUGGCCUUCCCCUCUGGCCUCCUGUGUGCAGCUCCCCUCUGCCUCUGUUUAUUAAAAACUGACCAGGGCGCCUGGGGGGGCUCAGUCAGUUAAGCGUCCAACUCUUGAUUUCGGCUCAGGUUGCGAUCUCACGGUUCGUGAGUUCGAGUUCCGAACGGGGCUCUGGGCAAACAGUGAGGAGGCUGCCUGGGAUUCUCUCUCCCCCUCUCUCUGCCCCUCCCCCGCUCACUCUCUCAAAAUAAAUAAAUCAACUUUAAAAUAAACA
rnacentral:lncRNA from 1 species